AAAACCUAGAUAGCAGUAGUUAGAUAUUCCAAAUGCAAUCUAGAGAAAAUAGAAGAGGUGACCUGAAAGAAGCUGAGAAUGAUGGAACACUUGCCUGAGCUCUGCUAUAUGGUUCCCCGGCAUGUCUCCUCCUCAAUUCACGGAUGUUUGGUCAGAUUUCCAGCAGUGACUCAGGGAUAAUGUAUGAGUCCCAAAGGCAGAUGCACAUCAGCUGUUUUCCACCAAGAGAAGUGACAUCAACUCCCUGUUGAGAAUCCAAGGUGCACUCUGUCUGAUUGAAAGAAGAGAUGUUUACAGCUUUUCUUAGGCUUGACUACCUUUGGUUGGUGGAGGGGAAAAAUAGAAGAUGGGAAAUGGAAGAAAAGAGGAGGUAACAAGAAGGAGACAUCCUCACUCACACAAAGACAUUGCAAAGGAGGAAAGAAGGGAGGGAGCUGGGUAAGAGGAAUGGGAACACCAGGAUCUCUGCUGGUGAGACAAGUGGUGAGACCUGAGCAGAGGAGCCUGUCCAGGGCCAGCACUGGGGACCCAGCUGGAGGGCAGACAAGAUGUUUAUUAUAUACAACCACUCACUGGAGGAUGAGUUCUUUCCUUUUAAGCUGAAGAUUGCAGAUAAAACCCAAAACAAAGAAGAAUCCACCCAAAAUAGGAAUGAUAAGCCUAACCAAAACAGGAACAGUGGGUCUGAACAAACCAUACAUGAUUUAACUGCAGGAACUGAAGGAGUGCAGCUGGCAUGUAAACACCAUGACAUAGUGAGACCCAUAGACAUACAUGGGGAAACAACUACUAUAAAAUAUGGGCAAGAAUAAAGAAGCUUUGGGUACUUCUGUACAACAAUGAUGGAACAUCGGUACAUGUCUGACAGAGGCCUGGCUCCCUUCUCGUGUUUAGCUUAGCUGGGCGCUAAGCUGACUUGAGCAACUAAAAGACUGGUAACAUCUUAGCAUUGGCAGAAGUGUGUGUGUGUGUGAAUGUGAGGUUUUAAUGUAUUUGUACUUACACAAUAAACAUGGCAUAUUGCCUUGUCCCCUGA